CACCGCCGGCCACCCCGUACCCUAGCCGAGCCCUUGCUCACUUGCAGUGCCCUCUCGCCACUGUCUUGUGCCCCAGCGCCGGCCGCCGUUACCUGUGCCCUAACGCCGGCCUCAUCUUCACUCUCUUCCCAAGCCUUUCUUUCUUCUUCUACCCUCUGCCCCAACGUCCACUGCCGACGCUAAGGUCCAGCAACCUUCUGCCGUGCUUUAGACUCCACUGGCGGGUCUUUCUUCUUCGCCACCAGUCGCCGGCAGAGAGGAAACAGAGGGUGACGAGUAGCAGCCAACAGCCCUUAGCGGCGCAAUUUCCGCUAUCAACUCUUUGAUUCCAGUUCAAAACAGUGGCUGUGAAGUUAGGACCUUGACGCGAGACGAGUAUCUCGACGUCGUGUUCGAACCAGAUUGGACAUU